GUGUUAAGUCCUUUUAGGAUUGUGAAUAGUUUAUUUACAUGAAUGGUAUAUAUUUGUUUAAGAGUUUGCAGAGGACAAUGGAGCAACAUUUACUGGAAGUUUCCAGAAAAAUUCUCCGCAAAUGGAUCACCCUUUGAUAUUAAAUGCAUCAAAACAAAGUAAUAGAGUAUCGAACCUUCAGGUGAGUUUUGUCACCGAUCACAAUCCAGGCUUACGGAUCGUGAAAGUAGGGCUGGUUUUCUAUUGGAUAUUUAUCACUUAUUUACUGAGACCGAUGGAAACAGUGUGUUUUGUGGACCCGAGACGUCGCCAUAUCAAUAGUCAAAAAAACAACAAAUUAAAGAACAAAUGAACGUAAAUACAUGAAAUAUUUUAUUGUUAAAACGUUAUAUUAAACACUGGCUACACUGCAGUUACUUAAAGCGAAAGUUUUAAUUACGUACUAGGCAUGUCCAAAGGUCGCACCUUCGCGUGAUGGCGCACGUGAUUUUUAUCAGUUAUAGACCUGAAACGAGGGGUAUUUGUGGAAUACCCCGAGUGAAAGGUCUAUAAAUGGUAUAUUAUACCGAACCUUUCAAAAAUAAGUAGAAAACAAAUACCAUUCAAUUAACUUUUAAUUUCAAAACACAACUUUUGAUAACUUUACAUUUAAAAAAGUCGAAUUUCCCGCUCAAGCGUGGUAUUCGAAGUCGAAUACCAUGGCCCCGGGUAAAACACCCAGGGUUCAAAUUGCCUAGGUCAUAGUAUUCGCCGAAAAAUACCAUGGUCAUGUGGUACAAAUUUAGUUCUCUGAUUGGACAAGCUCAUUGUGAGGUAUAAUAUUUUUUGUUAUUCGCCGGUGGAUAACGUAUUAUCUCCCUCUCGCGCUGUUGCGAGGGAGACAGCCUAAUUUCGUCACUCUCACGUGAUAUGCUCUCAACCAAUAAAACACUAGAAAAAUGCGACUUUGACUAUUGAUAUAUAAUGUUUUUUACUCAACCGAAACAAAUGAUAAUUUCCACAAAAUAUAUUAAAAUUAAUUUUUUUCGACGACUGAAAGGCGUAAGGGUGGAUAACAUAAUUUUGUCAGCUCCUAUACUGAACCUAUUUAUCUGAAUAUUUCAGCAAAAAUACCCAGAAAGCAUGUCUACACGUCGUUCAGAGAUCAUCGAUAUUAUAUUGGCUGUAGGCGCAUCGAUCGUGGCUUUGUCUGCGGCAAUUAUUGGAGUAAUUACAGUGAAGAGAAGAUUAACGGACCGCAGUGAACGUUCGCAAUAUGAAACGAUUAGAUGAAGUAAAAUUCUGACGUGAAUUUUACUAAGCUUCCUGCAAGAAAAAUAUAAUAUUUGGAUUUUUAGCGUUUCAACGCGAAAAAAAUUCCGUC